rnacentral:rRNA from 1 species
CCUACGGGUGACAGCAGUGGGGAAUAUUGGGCAAUGGGCGCAAGCCUGACCCAGCAACGCCGCGUGAAGGAAGAAGGCUCUCGGGUUGUAAACUUCUUUUCUCAGGGACGAAGCAAGUGACGGUACCUGAGGAAUAAGCCACGGCUAACUACGUGCCAGCAGCCGCGGUAAUACGUAGGUUGCAAGCGUUAUCCGGAUUUACUGGGUGUAAAGGGCGUGUAGGCGGGACUGCAAGUCAGGUGUGAAAACGACGGGCUCAACCUGUAGCCUGCAUUUGAAACUGUAGUUCUUGAGUACUGGAGAGGCAGACGGAAUUCGUAGUGUAGCGGUGAAAUGCGUAGAUAUUAGGAGGAACACCAGUGGCGAAGGCGGUCUGCUGGACAGCAACUGACGCUGAGGCGCGAAAGCGUGGGGAGCAAACAGGAUUAGAUACCCUUGUAGUC